GGAAAAAUAAUUAGGCCCUGCUAGGGGUAAAUUCUUCAAAGAUGACUGCCCAAAAAGUUGUGCCUGUUGAGCAUCUGUGGCUUGAGGUAGCUUUGUUAGGACUUUUUGUUCAUCAGCUGUAGAAGGCUUUAAGUGUACCAGAGGUUGCACGUCCUGCUCCUUAGAGAUAGUAUCCUUAUGGGUUAUUUGCUGUGUAACAAGUAACGAUACUGAAUCUUGAGUCUUCCCAAAAGGCAUGAGGUCUUUCUUUGUAGGAAUUUCACUAACUUUACUAAAGUUUGGUUCCCUUUUGCUGACAUCGUUCAGUUGAUCCGAAGUUACCUGUUCCAAUGUUUGUUUCUCCAAUACAGUAGCACGAUUUGACUGACCAAACCCUGAAGGUACAUCAGACAAAAAAUCCUCUUCUUCAUCUUGGGAACUAGAAUCAGUGUGAGGUUGAAUGGUAGGUCCUGUCUUCAAAGAUGACUGCCCAAAAAGUGGUGCUUGUUGAGCAUCUAUGGCUUGGGGUAGCUUUGUUAGGACUUUUUGUUCAUCAGCUGUAGAAGGCUUUAAGUGUACCAGAGGUUCCACGUCCUGCUCCUUAGAAAUAGUAUCCUUAUGGGUUAUUUGCUGUGUAACAAGUAACGAUACUGAAUCCUCAGUCUUCCCAAAAGGCAUGAGGUCUUUCUGUGUAGGAAUUUCACUAACUUUACUAAAGUUUGGUUCCCUUUUGCUGACAUCGUUCAGUUGAUCCGAAGUU
rnacentral:lncRNA from 1 species